AGGGGUGUGGCUCAGUGGUAGAGCACCUGCCUAGCAUGUGUGAGGCCUUGGGUUCCAUUUCCAGCACCACAC
rnacentral:tRNA from 1 species